UGUGUGCAUAGAUACUACCAUUGUGAAAUAUU
rnacentral:piRNA from 1 species